rnacentral:ncRNA from 1 species
UUAAAGACUAUGAAGAGGAAGAGUAGAUAAGGUACUGUUCACAGAGAGGAAAAACCAUAGGCUGUAAGUUUUUCUGAAUAAGUUUUAUUGAAAACCACCUCUGAGUUAUAUGCUGAACUAAGUAGUAGGCAUUUUCGCUUGCAAGCGUUAAAAGCAUUGAGUGGACAGCAUGAAUACGGUAAUUUUAAUGUUAUGUUGUCAAUUUGGGUGGAAUCGCGAUAUACUCGUCCCAUGU